rnacentral:lncRNA from 1 species
ACAUCAGCCCCGCAGGUCUUCUUCGUCUUGGGAGACACAGCCCCAAAGGAACGAGGCCUGGUGGAGCCAAGAAGCAUCUCGGGAAGGUCCCAGGGAGAGUGGUGGAGGCAGAACUUGGAGGUGUGGCUUGGUCUUGCACCCAGAGUUGACAGUGGCCUGCUCCCCAGCUUGUCAAGCUUGUGUCUCAGCAGCCAGGGGACUUAGCAGUGUGAGGUGUGCUCCCUUUGAAGAAGGUUUUGCCGAGGGCUUGGGAUUCGUAAUCCAAUCCAUCUUCUCUCUACAGGGAUGCUGGUCCGUGAUAAUGGUUUCAAAAGAUGAAAAAUCUGCAAGAGCAGACCUUGCACUUUGCAGUUGGUGUGGACAAAGUAUGUAGCCACCAAAAUGGCAUGGAAUUAAGAGUAAAUAAAGAAAAUCAGUGAAAAGAGAAGAGAAAAAACAAAAGAAAUGAACUAUUUGGAGGUAAGCAGGCAUUAAAAGGCUGUAUUUAAGCUUUCUUUUCUUUUCUUUUCUUUCUUUCUUUAUUUUUUUGCUUGCUUUUUCCUGAAAUUUUUACGUCAAUAAGAU